UCGGCUUCGGGGGGGUUGUCCGUGGUGGCGAGCCUGGGGAAGGGGCGACAAGGCCUCUGUGAUGACCCGCCCGCUCGUGGAGAUCCUGAUCAGGGACCUCAACAAGCGCGUCCCCGGCAAGAUCAAUAGAUCAUCGACCCCAAGACCAACACCGUCCCCUGACGAUUAAGGAUAUCCUGCAAGGGGAGUAGAAAUUGAGCAAGUACCAUUUUAUCAAAUCGUGAAGGAAAAGAAGAAGGCGACAAGGUUGAUACCUGUACGCAUUUCAUCACAUCAGGUAUGAGAGCGACUUGUUUCAUCACUUCAGGUAUGAGAGCGACUUGUUUCUGCAUGUCACAUAUCUUUUUGUUCAUGUCAUCAAGAACAUUGCAGAUUUGUUUUGUGCUGGGAUUGUCUCUCUUUGUACUUCCACCUGAACCUACGCCGUUGUUUUUUUCACGGCAUGCAAUGAUUUCAUUGACAAUCUGCAUGAAGAAGUAGUGUACCAUUAUCAGUUGAACACACAAAAAUAUGUAAAAACACGUGUGAUAAAAAAACAAUGUUACAAUUUGGUUUACCUUUCCAUUACCGUAGCCAUAAUCAGAGUCAUAAGCAUCUCUCUUACAGGCAGUACUUUCAUCCCAGUUCGUCAUAAGUGGGUAUGUAGAGAAGUUAUAUUUUUCCAAACCAAUGGCUGGACGGACCUUUGCCCAAUAGCAGAACUACAUGAUUAUGAAAAAUAGGAAAAAAUCGUUACUAAAUAUCUUGUAUAUAUUUAUCUAACCAAUAGAAGUAGCAUUAUGUUAUACCUGCAGAAGAGCUAAGUUCCCUUCUGGCCAACUCGUUUGGCCUUUUACUGUUUUCUUCUUUACUAGAUUGGAAAUCAGAAAUGGCAGUGUCAAAGAAAUCCAAUUCAUGUUCUGUGCUCGGCGUAGAUCAUCUACAAUUGCAUAGUAAUCUCUUGGCACAGAAGAAGUUGAAACUGGCAUUAGCAAUGUACCAAGAAGUACUAAAAGCACCCUUCUAAUAAAAUCAUCAUCAGCUGUGCCAUCUGUCUCAAUGGCUCUGAUGAGAUCAUCAAUUAGUAUCGUAUUUGUCCUGGGGUUGAGAAACUUUGAGGGGACCUCCCUUGAUGUGUCAAACUUUGCUUGAUUAAAAGUUUCACCGCGGUUCUUGAGUCCAGUAAUUGCUUCAACAUCUUCACCUGAAAGUGUUAUAUCUUCUGUUCCUAUUCUGAACACUUUCCGAGCAGGAUCGAAUGCUGUUAUCAUGAACAACAAUAACCCUGGACGCAUUAUCAUGUGUUUUGCUCUCAGGUAAGAGCCUAUUCCCCACUCUUCCAGUUUGCGGCGUUGGAUAGGAUUUAAUUUGGAUGUGAGGUCAUACCACUUCUUUGGUGAGCAAGGAUACGAUCUAAGCCUGAUGUGUUUUGAGUCAGGUGUAGCGACAGAAAAUAGAGAGGAACAUGGGACAUUCCACCGAAUGAAAAGAAACAGGAAAAAUACACCAGAUCAGCUGAUAAGACAAAGGAGACAUCAUGCAAGGCAUCAUCUAGAAGGAACAGGGAUCAUUACCUGUUCUUACUUUGGUCUCUGCCUGUAUAAUCAGAUUGAUCUUUUAUUUUUUUGAAACGGGGUAGGAGCUCUCCCUGUAUGAUCAAAGAGACGCCAUGAUCAAAUUGAUUUGUAUGUUCCACCGUGCUUGUAUGAUCA